UUAAGUCCCUAAAUGUAAUUACUACUGUCCUGCCUUUCAGGUGGGAGCUGAAAUAGAAUAAUUGAAUCCUAGAGUUGGAAGGAACCUUUGAGGUGACCAAGUUUGAGCCCUAUCCAAAAAGCAACACUUGGAUGACAUAACUGCCAGUCAGUCAACAGCAUUGAGAACAUUAAAAACAUUAAUAUUUUGAUCAACAAAGAACUGAGAAGGGGACAAUGAGGUGGCUCAGUGGAUAGAGACUCAGGCCUGGAGUUGGGUUCAAAUGUGGCCUUGGAUACUUCCAAGCUAUACGACCCUGGGCAAGUCACUUUCACCUCAAUUGCCUAGACCUUACUGCUAUUCGAUUCCAAAUCAGAAGAGGACAGAACCAGGAGCAGAUUUCAAGAGGUCAACUUGGGCUGGAAGUCAGGAAAACAAAAUUCUUCACAUUUGGGGCUACUCCAAAGUGGAAUGGACUGUCAAGAGAUGGUUGAAACACCCUUCUUUCAGCAAACAUCUGGCUGCUCUUCCAUCAAAUGUUUUUGGAAGUUGAGGAUUUUGCCAGAUUUCAGUGUUCUGGUAAAUAGUUCACUAGAGCUCUGCAAAGAAGCAAAACUAAGUGAGCAGAGCCCAGGAGAGCUGUCUGGAGCCGCUGCUAACUUGUGUAGAAACCCUUCUGCGUGACUUUAUUACAGUGAUUACUGAGCUAUUUGGUACCAGAGUAACAAUUACUGCUGCCACCCUUGGCUUAGCUGACACACUGACAUCUUCAGAGAGCAGAAUCAAGGAAACUCAGCCCACUGAGCUAUGUGAGCAAAUACACAAUGGGUCUAUAAAAACACAUUUAAAAAAUGAAACAGGAGGGGCUUAGAGUAAAUGACAAGUAGUUUUUGCUUCAAUUGAAUUCACAUGGAUUAAGAAAAGGAAACAAAUCAUUUAAAUGACUUUGCAAGUAUGCCUUAGUAUAUUUUUCCCUCCCUCUGCAAUGAGGUAUUCAGCCUUUCAGUUUGGAGUCUUCCCCUUUGCACAGAGAGAUGUAGAAUAAAAAACAUUCUUUUAUUUGUCA
rnacentral:lncRNA from 1 species